AUUGGAAUAGCAGAGCCUGGCUAAUGCAAAAGACCUAAGCCCUUUUAUUCAGGGGUUCAACUCCCCUUUCCAAUU
rnacentral:tRNA from 1 species